CCAAUCACACGGCGCUGUCUGAGGACCCCUGGGCUGAGCUGCCUGUACACGUGCCUGCUGGAACGGAGUGCACUCACUGCAACUGUGUUUUUACCCAGGAUACACUUCUGCAAAGCCACUCCAGUAUUGGACCAGUUUACCCCACUCUACCAUGGACGUCCUACUUGUGAUGUGGACCUGAACCACCGCCAUGUAGCAGACAACCCCCCUCAGGUCUUGCGGAGUAUCCUUCCCAAGUUGCUUGAAUCAUCAUGGAUGAAAAGGGACACGACAGUUCUCCUGCUGUACCAUGGGCGACCUAACACAAUACCACUGCAUCUCAUAUAUUACAUUUUAUUUACUAAUAAUUUAAAGAAAAACACAAAACUUCUCAUUUUAAAAAUUUAU